GAAAUGCGAUAAGUAAUGUGAAUUGCAGAAUUCAGUGAAUCAUCGAAUCUUUGAACGCACAUUGCGCCCCCUGGUAUUCCGGGGGGCAUGCCUGUUCGAGCGUCAUUUCACCACUCAAGCCUCGCUUGGUAUUGGGCAACGCGGUCCACCGCGUGCCUCAAAUCGACCGGCUGGGUCUUCUGUCCCCUAAGCGUUGUGGAAACUAUUCGCUAAAGGGUGUUCGGGAGGCUACGCCGUAAAACAACCCCAUUUCUAAGGUUGACCUCGGAUCAGGUAGGGAUACCCGCUGAACUUAAGC
rnacentral:misc_RNA from 1 species